GGGGUCAUAGCUCAGUGGUAGAGCGCUUGUCUAGCAUGUGUGAAGCGCUGAGUUUGAUCCUCAGUACCACA
rnacentral:tRNA from 1 species